rnacentral:rRNA from 1 species
UACGUAGGGUGCGAGCGUUGUCCGGAAUUAUUGGGCGUAAAGGGCUCGUAGGCGGUUUGUCACGUCGGGAGUGAAAACUCAGGGCUUAACCCUGAGCCUGCUUCCGAUACGGGCAGACUAGAGGUAUGCAGGGGAGAACGGAAUUCCUGGUGUAGCGGUGAAAUGCGCAGAUAUCGAGAGGAACACCUGCGGCGAAGGCGGGUUGCUGGGCCGACACUGACGCUGAUGCGCGAAAGCCAGGGGAGCGAACGGG